GACGAACGCUGGCGGCGUGCUUAACACAUGCAAGUCGAACGGAAAGGCCCUGCUUUUGUGGGGUGCUCGAGUUGCGAACGGGUGAGUAACACGUGUGUAACCUGCCCUCGACUUUGGGAUAACUUCAGGAAACUGGCGCUAAUACCGGAUAGGAGCUCCUGCUGCAUGGUGGGGGUUGGAAAGUUUCGGCGGUUGGGGAUGGAAUCGCGGCUUAUCAGAUUGUUGGUUGGGUAGUGUAUUAGCAAGGCAUUGCCGGGUAGCCUAGCUGGUGGGAUGACCUGACAAAUCAGGAUGGGACUGAGGCCCAGACUCCUCCGGGAGGGAGGAGAGGAGUGUAUAGCACUAUGGGCGGAAGCCUGAUGCAGUAAAGCCGCGUGGGGGAUGACGGCAAUCGGGUUGUAUUCCGAAUCCGCCUGUGACGAAACGUGAGUGACGGUAAUGGGUGAAGAAGCACCGGCUAACUCCGUG
rnacentral:rRNA from 1 species